rnacentral:rRNA from 1 species
UGGGGAACCUGCCCCAUAGUCUGGGAUACCACUUGGAAACAGGUGCUAAUACCGGAUAAGAAAGCAGAUCGCAUGAUCAGCUUUUAAAAGGCGGCGUAAGCUGUCGCUAUGGGAUGGCCCCGCGGUGCAUUAGCUAGUUGGUAAGGUAAAGGCUUACCAAGGCGAUGAUGCAUAGCCGAGUUGAGAGACUGAUCGGCCACAUUGGGACUGAUACACGGCCCAAACUCCUACGGGAGGCAGCAGCG